AUGGAGGCUCUAGAUGCCGUGCUCCUGAUGGCGAGGAUAGCGGCCGACCCUGAUCUUCAAGCAGCGAUGCAAGCUCAUGUUACUGUUAUGCUGGGUCCGUCGGUCCUCCUCCUCCGGGAUCUUGAUUCUUCCGGACAGAGUCUUCUCGGUGCAGAGGAGCUUCGUCUUCUUCGAGAUGCUCUCAGGGAAGUAUGCAUCCCCCUGAAGAGUAUGUCGGAAGACGACGGCGCUAGCUUCAUGGCCAGAUGGUGGAUGAAGAUAGUUCGGGAGCUUUGUUAUGACACGCAGGAUUACCUCAACUUCGUCCAAAGUGCUCGAGAUCGUCCUGAUUUUUCAGAGUUACCUGAUCGUGCCAAGGCUGUUUAUUCAGGCUUACUUGCUCGUGCCAUUGAUGCAAGGGAAAGACGCAGAGGUUUCCAGUGGUCUCCCAAGACCACCCGGUCUGACACGCAGGAAGCCUUCGACCGCCGCUUCUCCAAAGCUUUGGCCCGGGUGUCGGGUUCCUUGGGUGUCUGUACCACACCUGGUGCCGUGGUCGUGGAGGCCCCAAACAAGCUUGUCGAGCUGCUAGCUUUAGACGACGAUGUCGACGACAAGACACUCAAGGUGAUACCUAUAAUUGGAUGUGCAGGUGUUGGAAAGACAACAGCUGCCAGAACCUUGUAUCACAAGCAUGGAGGGAAAUUUCAGUGCCGGGCUUUCGUAAGUGCGUCUCAGAAUCCAGAUAUGAGGGGGAUCCUUACCAGCAUGCUCGCACAACUGAAGGCACCAUGGCCCCCUGGCUUUCCUGAUGUGCUGGACCUUAUUGGUGCUAUCAGCAAGCAUCUCCAAGGCAAAGGGUACUUCAUCGUACUUGAUGAUUUAUGGACUGCAUCGGUAUGGCAUAUUGUUAGCCGCGCUUUUCCUCGUGGUGGUCACGGCAGCAGAAUAAUAACAACUACACAAGUGCAUGACGUAGCACUGGCAUGCUCUGGUUAUCACUCGGUCCGUAUAUAUAAGAUGGAACUUCUUGAUGAAUAUGAAUCUCGAAAGUUAUUCUUCCGUAGGGUGUUUAGCUCUGCCCCUGGAGAUGGUUGUUCUCCAGCUACCAAAGAAGUCUCAUACGAGAUUAUCAGGAAAUGUGAAGGUUUACCAUUAGCAAUUGUAAGUAUAGCUGGUCUGUUAGCAAGCGAAUUAAGCAUCGUCAUGGAGGAUUGGAGGCACAUACAGAAUUCUUUUUCCUCUACUUCCGAAGGGAUGAACGAUGUUUUAAACCUUAUCUACAAUAGUCUUCCACCUGGUUUGAGGACAUGCUUGCUAUAUCUGAGUAUGUAUCCACAGGGCUACGUGAUGAAGAAGGCUGAGUUGGUGAGGCACUGGGUAGCCGAAGGUUUUUUCGGUGAUGUGGAAGGGACAGUCACAAUGAAAAUUGCUGAGGGUUAUUUUGAUGAGCUUGUCAGCAGAGCAAUGGUCCAAGCAGUGGACACCAAUCAUAUUGGCGAGGUGUUGUCAUGUACGGUUCACCAUUUGGUACUGGAUUUUAUUAGGUCCAAAUCCUUGGAGGAGAAUUUUGUCACCACUGUGGACUAUUCUGAAUCAAUUCUAGCAAACACUGAUAAAGUUCGUCGAUUAUCCAUCCAGUUUGGAGGGGUAAAAAGCGCAUACAUUCCAGAAACCAUCAUAACAUCGAAAGUUCGGUCACUUGCAUAUUGGGGUUUCUUCAAGUGUGCGCCUCCUUCCAUUAUGGAUUAUGGAUUUCUGUAUUCUGAAUCUUCAUAUUUGGGCUGAUGAAGACAAUGAGAUUUUUGACCUCAUUGGAAUCACAAAGCUUUCUCUUCUGAAGUAUCUCAAGAUUGAAUGUAAUAUCACCGUCAAACUUCCAGACAGGAUUGGAAUGCUCCGAUACUUGGAGACACUGGAAGUAGAUGCAAGAUUGUUUGCUGUUCCAUCAGAUAUGGAUAAUCUGGAGAGGUUACUGCACCUUCGCCUUCCGAGCGAGUCUAUUCUGCCCCAAGAAGUUGCCCGCGUGAGAUCUGUUCGCUCUCUAGGGUAUCUUGGCCUUAGCUUGCUCACCACUGAAUUUGUUAGAUCUUGUACGGAGAAUUCUAACCUCCAGGAUCUCGAGCUCACCUGUUCUAUGGUACAGCGAGCAGAAACUCUGAAAAAGAAUGUGCAAAUCUUAGGCUCGAUUGUUGAGAAGCUUAGCUACUUGCACACCAUAACUUUGGUGGCUGCUUCAGUCUCCUCUCAUGAGGAUGAUGCUCAGGCUGCACCUGCAAGCAUAAUUAUUCCCCCUGAUGGCUUUAACAUGGCGUCUCCUCCUCCAGACCUGCUUCUACAGAGGAUCGAGCUGUCGCGGCACUGCUGCAUCUUCUUCUGCAUACCUAAGUGGUUUGGAGAGCUAAGGAAACUCUGCAUCCUAAAGAUUGCAAUUAGGAGUCUGUCGACGAGUGGUAUCGAAAUCCUGGAAAGAAUGCCAGCCCUCGCUGCUCUCACCCUGUAUAAUCAGACAACUCCCACAGAAAAGAUGAUCAUGACUGACGGGGGAUUCUAUAGACUCACGUACUUCAAGUUCUUGUGCGCUGCACCAUGCCUGUCAUUUGCACAGGGAGCAAUGCGCAGACUCCAAAACCUCAACCUAGGAUUCAACUCAAAAGAAUGGAGAUCGGAUACCAUUGAAACUGUAGGCUUGAGUCACUUGAGAAGCCUUACGGAUGUAUGUGUAAGACUUGGCGCUGGGGCUGCUGACAACUUCAACGUAAAAGUUGCCGAGUCGACAUUGGAGGCUGUCGUCAGGAAUCACCCCAACUCUCCUAGGAUGAGAAUCAAAUUUGUGGAUGUGAUUUUUGAUGGUGAGGAGGAUGAGAACACCGCGACUCACGAGAAUCAAGAAGGCAAGGAAAGCAGGUACGGCUUUUUCUUCCGUUUACAAGAAUUUUGUAGGGGUUUUAAAGGAUAG
rnacentral:rRNA from 1 species